rnacentral:rRNA from 1 species
AAGACCUUGCGCUUUUGGAGCGGCCGAUGCCUGAUUAGCUUGUUGGUAAGGUAAAAGCUUACCAAGGCUUCGAUCAGUAGCUGGUCUGAGAGGACGACCAGCCACACUGGGACUGGGACACGGCCCAGACUCCUACGGGAGGCAGCAGUGGGGAAUUUUGGACAAUGGGGGCAACCCUGAUCCAGCCAUGCCGCGUGAGUGAAGAAGGCCUUCGGGUUGUAAAGCUCUUUCAGCCGGAACGAAACGGUUACGGAUAACACCCGUGACUACUGACGGUACCGGAAGAAGAAGCACCGGCUAACUACGUGCCAGCAGCCGCGGUAAUACGUAGGGUGCGAGCGUUAAUCGGAAUUACUGGGCGUAAAGCGUGCGCAGGUGGUUUUGUAAGUCAGAUGUGAAAGCCCCGGGCUCAACCUGGGAACU